UCUCUGCUAGUAUAUCGGCUAGUACACGCGCCUGUCAUUUGCUGUAGUGUGAGAUGACGACGCGCGAAAGCUGGGUUCGACUCCCAGGCAGAGAG